rnacentral:rRNA from 1 species
UACGGAGGAUGCGAGCGUUAUCCGGAUUUAUUGGGUUUAAAGGGAGCGCAGGCUGCGGGGCAAGUCAGCGGUCAAAUGUCGGGGCUCAACCCCGGCCUGCCGUUGAAACUGUCUUGCUAGAGUUCGAGUGAGGUAUGCGGAAUGCGUUGUGUAGCGGUGAAAUGCAUAGAUAUGACGCAGAACUCCGAUUGCGAAGGCAGCAUACCAACUCGCGACUGACGCUGAGGCUCGAAAGCGUGGGUAUCGAACAGG